rnacentral:rRNA from 1 species
GGCGGCGUGCUUAACACAUGCAAGUCGAACGAUGAAGCCCAGCUUGCUGGGUGGAUUAGUGGCGAACGGGUGAGUAACACGUGAGUAACCUGCCCCUGACUCUGGGAUAAGCGUUGGAAACGACGUCUAAUACUGGAUAUGACUACUGGUCGCAUGGCCUGGUGGUGGAAAGAUUUUUUGGUUGGGGAUGGACUCGCGGCCUAUCAGCUUGUUGGUGAGGUAAUGGCUCACCAAGGCGACGACGGGUAGCCGGCCUGAGAGGGUGACCGGCCACACUGGGACUGAGACACGGCCCAGACUCCUACGGGAGGCAGCAGUGGGGAAUAUUGCACAAUGGGCGAAAGCCUGAUGCAGCAACGCCGCGUGAGGGAUGACGGCCUUCGGGUUGUAAACCUCUUUUAGUAGGGAAGAAGCGAAAGUGACGGUACCUGCAGAAAAAGCACCGGCUAACUACGUGCCAGCAGCCGCGGUAAUACGUAGGGUGCAAGCGUUGUCCGGAAUUAUUGGGCGUAAAGAGCUCGUAGGCGGUUUGUCGCGUCUGCUGUGAAAUCCCGAGGCUCAACCUCGGGCUUGCAGUGGGUACGGGCAGACUAGAGUGCGGUAGGGGAGAUUGGAAUUCCUGGUGUAGCGGUGGAAUGCGCAGAUAUCAGGAGGAACACCGAUGGCGAAGGCAGAUCUCUGGGCCGUAACUGACGCUGAGGAGCGAAAGCGUGGGGAGCGAACAGGAUUAGAUACCCUGGUAGUCCACGCCGUAAACGUUGGGCGCUAGAUGUAGGGACCUUUCCACGGUUUCUGUGUCGUAGCUAACGCAUUAAGCGCCCCGCC